GGAUGAACGCUGGCGGCGUGCUUAAUACAUGCAAGUCGAACGGAGAGCUCGCAAGGGCUCUGAGUGGCGAACGGGUGAGUAACGCGUGGGUGACCUGCCCCGAAGCCGGGGAUAACAGCUCGAAAGGGCUGCUAAUACCGGAUGUGGUCAUAGGGUUUAGAAGCUUAUGACCAAAGGAAUGCAUUUUACGGAAUGCGCUCCACUUUGGGAGGGGCCUGCGUCCCAUCAGCUAGUUGGCAAGGUAACGGCUUACCAAGGCGACGACGGGUAGGGGACCUGAGAGGGUGAUCCCCCACACUGGCACUGAAACACGGGCCAGACACCUACGGGUGGCAGCAGUAGGGAAUAUUGCACAAUGGGCGCAAGCCUGAUGCAGCAACGCCGCGUGCGCGAUGAAGGCCUUCGGGUCGUAAAGCGCUUUUCUGGAGGACGAGGAAGGACGGUACUCCAGGAAGAAGGCUCGGCUAACUACGUGCCAGCAGCCGCGGUAAAACGUAGGAGCCAAGCGUUAUCCGAAUUCACUGGGCGUAAAGCGCGUGCAGGCGGCCGGGUAAGUUGGCUGUGAAAUCUCCUGGCUCAACUGGGAGAGGCCGGUCAAGACUAUUCGGCUCGAGGACGGUAGAGGAAGGUAGAAUUCCCGGUGUAGUGGUGAAAUGCGUAGAUAUCGGGAGGAAUACCUGUGGCGAAAGCGGCCUUCUGGACCGUUCCUGACGCUCAGACGCGAAAGCCAGGGGAGCGAACGGGAUUAGAAACCCCGGUAGUCCUGGCUGUAAACGAUGUAGACUAGGCGUGGGUGGGGUAAAAGCCAUCCGUGCCGCAGCAAACGCGGUAAGUCUACCGCCUG
rnacentral:rRNA from 1 species